ACGUCACUCCUGCGGGAGGCAGCAGUGGGGAAUAUUAGACAAUGGGCGCAAGCCUGAUCCAGCCAUGCCGCGUGAGUGAUGAAGGCCCUAGGGUUGUAAAGCUCUUUCACCGGUGAAGAUAAUGACGGUAACCGGAGAAGAAGCCCCGGCUAACUUCGUGCCAGCAGCCGCGGUAAUACGAAGGGGGCUAGCGUUGUUCGGAUUUACUGGGCGUAAAGCGCACGUAGGCGGACUAUUAAGUCAGGGGUGAAAUCCCGGGGCUCAACCCCGGAACUGCCUUUGAUACUGGUAGUCUUGAGUUCGAGAGAGGUGAGUGGAAUUCCGAGUGUAGAGGUGAAAUUCGUAGAUAUUCGGAGGAACACCAGUGGCGAAGGCGGCUCACUGGCUCGAUACUGACGCUGAGGUGCGAAAGCGUGGGGAGCAAACAGGAUUAGAAACCCCGGUAGUCCCAUGA
rnacentral:rRNA from 1 species